rnacentral:rRNA from 1 species
UACAGAGGUGGCAAGCGUUGUUCGGAAUUACUGGGCGUAAAGAGCUCGUAGGCGGCUUGUCGCGUCGACUGUGAAAACCCGUGGCUCAACCAUGUGGUCUGCAGUCGAUACGGGCAGGCUAGAAUUCGGUAGGGGAGACUGGAAUUCCUGGUGUAGCGGUGAAAUGCGCAGAUAUCAGGAGGAACACCGGUGGCGAAGGCGGGUCUCUGGGCCGAUAUUGACGCUGAGGAGCGAAAGCGUGGGUAGCGAACAGG